rnacentral:tRNA from 1 species
GUGAGCAUAGCUCAGCUGGUAGGAUAAUGCAUUAUUAUAUGCAGGGGCCGGGGUUCGAACCCCAAACAUCCCA